rnacentral:rRNA from 1 species
AGCAAGCGGACGAAGGCAUACACGGCGGCCGAGGACAAGCUUCUUUGUGAGUGCUGGGGAGACAUUGGGCAAGACCCCAAGACGGGCGCCGAACAAAAGGCAUCAACCUUUUGGAUUCGUGUCCAUCGUGAGUUCCAUGAGCGCAAGAAGUUUCCGCCGUACCAAAUAAUAAGCACGCGCGGGUGGGUGUCCAUUUCGAAGCGGUGGAGGGUGAUCCAACAAGAGUGCAACAAGUUUUGUGCCACUCUUGAGAGCGUCAGGGCCCGGCUCAUAGCGGCAUUGGCAUGCAAGACAUGGUAUGCUAGCAAGCCGCCCUCUUUUGUGUCAUUUUGUUUAUGCUUGCGUGUCCAUUUCCAUACCAUUUGCCAAUAUGCUUGCAUGAAAUACAUUUGUAGGCAUUUCAAGCUUUAG